UACGAAGGGAGCUAGCGUUGUUCGGAAUUACUGGGCGUAAAGGGCGCGUAGGCGGGUUUCCAAGUCGGGGGUGAAAUUCCAGGGCUCAACCCUGGGACUGCCCUCGAUACUGGAAGCCUGGAGAUCGGGAGAGGUGAGUGGAAUUCCGAGUGUAGAGGUGAAAUUCGUAGAUAUUCGGAGGAACACCAGAAGCGAAGGCGGCUCACUGGCCCGAGACUGACGCUGAGGCGCGAAAGCGUGGGGAGCAAACAGG
rnacentral:rRNA from 1 species